GCCAUUCUGAAGCAUGCAGGAAAUUAUUUUCUCAGAAUCAAAGAGCAGCUUGUGCCUUUUACUAUGAGACAUUUUCUGUACCUAAUGUGAYAUACAAUUAUGGAAUAGUUUGGAUGGGAAGGGACCUUAAGGACCACAGUGUUCCAACCUCCCUUCCAUGGGCAGGGAUWCCUUGCAUUGGGCCACYUCACUUCUGCUCCCCCACCUCAUGCUCAGCUUCUUCCCACAGUGAUCGUGCUCUGGUACAACUUUCCAAACUCAAUUAUCUCCAACUGAAUAAUUUAAAGCCUAGUUUGAAUUUAAUUUCAUUCUAUCCCACUGGGAGAACUACAGAGARAGAUGGCUAAACAAGCAAGAGUUCUGAGAAAUCCAUUUGGCUUCUGAGCUGAUGAGUGGUGUGGUAUUGACAAUAGACUUCUCCAAACGUGGGGAUGCCAGCAGGAAUCUGCAUUAUAAAACAACUGAAAUUAUAGAGGAGUUUAAGGAUAAUUUUUAUAUUUGAGGAAACUUUAUGAAAACCAGCAUUUAUGUUGGAUGGGUUUCUGAACUUUUAAAAGUGCAGUCUGUAUCAGUUAUCUUGCCAAUUGCCAGUAGGUGCUGAAAAUUAUUUCCUUUUGGGCUCAACAACUGUAAUAGUGCCUUUUGCACUGUUUAGCCAAUAUAAUCAUGAAGUUCUCUGCUAUAGACAGGGGCAAGGUGAUGGAUCUGGGYAAAAUUUUCAGUGAGAUUGCCUGAAAUUUUGUUUUACUAUUGUUCCCUUGGUCCUGACCUGACUUUUCAAGUUAGGGAAGCUCUCAUCCCAUACUCUAACCUAUUUAGACACAAGAARCAAGUUUUUGUGAAUUAAAAGUAUGGCAGAGUUUUGAUUAAGWCAGAUAUUCAUGGAAGUCUCAAGUUUUUAUUCAUAGUACAGGUUGGUGGCCUAUAAAAGUUCAGCCUUCAAGUAUUUCCCUUGUGAUUACUUUUUCUGAAUGAAACAUAGAAGGAUUUUCCCUGAGUUACACAAUGUUAGGCCUUUUCCUGAUGGCAGUGGCUCUGACUGGGGGCCCUGAUCUUCCAAACACUGCUUGUCUCAUGUUCCCCAAUUCUGCAAACGUUCAAGCAUGGAGCAGCCCAGGUAUCCUUCCAGCAGCUCUGCAGCAGCCAACGCUGUUUUGCAGAAUUGGAUUCUGCCCUUGUAAACAAUGCUUAGCAGCCAACAAAGUGUAAAACUGAGGAGAAGGUAAAGGAAAGGCUAAAGGCAUGCAGACACCACAAGAAAUGUAUGGAUUUGCCACGUAGGCUCAGCUUGCAGACUCAGGGUGUGACUCUGUGAUGUUUGGCAGCCUUCCAUUUUCAACAGAUGGCCGAGCAUCCUGCAUGUCCCCACAAAAUCAAGUUGUGCACACUUCUGUUUAAUAUUUUUCUCUAUGCAGACACUUAAAAUAUUCUCUGAUGAGAAACUCUUCGUUUUUACUAAUUCUGUUUAAUUUUCWUUGGACUGCAGCCCAAAGCUAUUUCAUGACCAGAAUUCUUUUGAUUUUCUGUAGACAGGGAUGGAGAGCAUCCCUUCAAGCAGAAGAAAACCAUAAAACUUGAAGGAUCACAAUACCUAGGACAUCUCCAUUGACACAUCAGAGCUUUCUGUGACAGAAGGACAAGAAUCUGUGCCGUAAGGAAUGGGAGAGGGAAAAACACUUAACUGUUCCAUGGCUGUGAUAGAGACAAUGACCAUCUGUGUGUCUCUCAGAAGGUGCCUUAACAUGUCUCUGUUGUACUCAAAACCAAAUUAGGAGCAAUUGUUUGUUCUGAGCUAAAAUCCCAAUCCUGCAGAGAGCAAGAGAAGUUUGGUUGGUGGSAGUCAGGCAAACGCAUGAGCUUUCCAGGAUGGUGCUCUGAGCAGUGGACUGAAGAGCUCUGAAGAGCUGGGAGGUGGCAGGUACAGGGGUGGCACACCUGAACUGCUCCUGGCUGUCCUGGAACACCCCCCUGAAGUUGAUAUUGAUGGGUGACACAAAGCAGAACAGCCUUGCCACAUCCUCCAGGCAGGGCUCAUUGUCUGCAGAGGKUCCAGCCUGCAGCACCGAGGAGCUGCUCAAACCCUUCCAGCACGGAGCAUCUUUCCCUGACAAUGUGGAGCCAUAUCCUUGGGCUGAUGUGAACUGCUGUAGCCACACUGAUGUCGAUCCASCUUACACAAGCCAAAAAUACGGCUUAAAGUAAAUGAAUCACUCUGCUGGAAUGUAGCCAGCUCUGAAGCAUACCUGUCCUAUGGGAAUGCCGAGAAGUGAAAGUUGCUUCCACCCAUUUUGACUGAUAACCCACAAACAAGCCACAAAUCUGCCAUGGAAGGAAGGCUGCAAUGCCACGUGGCCUGGUCUGCAGUUCUACAACCAGAUGUGUUUUAGGAUGUUAUCAAACUCAAGAUCUUUUCAGCUGAACCUGAAAUGAGUGAGGAGCGCUCAUUUUCACACAGUAUAAAAGUUGCCUCAAGAAAAGCUUUGAAUGUGGUGCCAGCACAACAGCAGCGAGAGAAACCAAGGCAAGUGCCUCCAAGAUGUAAAAAAAAUGUUACUGUUAUUUCCUGUUGUUCAUSUGAAUCUCCACUCUCGAGAACUUCAGCAAAAUCCUAGAUUUUCCUUUUAUUUUUAGGAAGAACAUCCAGCAAGCUAAAAAGCAGGAUCACAAGGAGGUCCUAAGAUGGGGCUUGCUCCAGUUUUCCUGMUGAGCAUCUGUUUAGGAAUUGCUGCUAAAAAAAAGUCAGAGAGGAUGGUAGUYGCUGUGCUGUCACGUGGCCUGAUGCAGUGCAGAAUCUGCUUAGCAUUCUUGAAGGGAAAUUAUCCAGUGCUGCAACUCACAAUUUAUAAUUGGUUGCCUAUUAAUAGCUAAAAAAGGCAAUAAAAUCCACUGUGUGUUUUAAAAAAAUAGUAAGUAGGAGUACUACAAGCUGAGCAGUGAAAAUCUGGGAGACUUCUUGGCUAGAGCAGGGCUGUGUGCGGUGUUGUUUCUCCCUUAUUAAUUACGAGCAAUUUUAAAUCAUCUCCUUCCUUCAAGGAAGGAUUUUGUUCAGCAUUCGUGUUAAUUUUAAUCUUGCUAACGUGAUACUCCCUUGGAACCUCUCCCCUGUGUCAUAACAGUGAGACAUGCUGCCUCUUUUGUCCCUGCCCUUUGGGAAACGCAGUCACUGCUGCUCACUGCCUCAGCCCUGCACACCUCCCUUGAAAGGAAAAGAAACCAAAACCCAGCAGCAGCAUUGUUCUUCCCCCCCAGAGUUCACUUUUAUUUGUAGUUUUUAAGCUGUGCAACUGCCUCGUGAAAAUUGGGGGUUUAAAAUGUGUGGUGCUGUAUUAGAGUGGAAAGCUUGUUAUUCAGCACACUAAUUAUUUCUGAGUCACUGUAUUUAUGAAAUGUCAUGUAAUAACUACUUCACCACCAUGCAAAAUAAAUAGUGCAAAACCAGGCACUUUAUGAUUUUGACAUUUUAGUGUAUAAACAUAUUCCCGAGUCUCUCUGGGGGGCUACUGGGAAUCAGAUAAUGUUUUUAUGACUUUAAAAAAAUGACAUUGAAUUUCAUAGUCUGUAACACUCCAUAUUUAUCAUUCAUGUUGUGCAUUUGAKUACAGCUUCAGUGGCUCACAUUGCAAAGAGAAAAUGUACAAAAGUGGGGUUGUGGAACUUGGGGGGAACAAGGGGGUAAAGCCUUGCAGUGCACAUCUCAAAGCCCUUGGACCAUGCUGGGACRUCAGAAUUCCCCCUCAGCUUUUUUCUUUUCAGGAUGGAUUGCAAAGCCCUUGCUGAAGGAGGCUUUCUGCUCACUUGUCACUGGAGGAUAAGGAAGUUUGGGGUUUUGUCCAGCCCUGUGUGAAUGACCCAUUAACUGCAGAGAGACUGGGACACCUGGAAUGACACACUGGGAGUGAGUACAGAGAGGAAGAAGGGUGAAUUCCUGCUCCAAGGGGCCUUCUGAGUAGUCCCCCAUGGUCUCUGAGAACAAUGGGUGGAUGCUUACCAGAAUAUGCCACUUCAGAAAAUGCUGUGCCUAAAGCCAGGCCUUUUGUGCUCCUCUGCAAAGCUCGCUCGGUGUUACAAAAGUUCUGGGUCAUUUGCUUGAAUGCUAGGAAAAGUUUGACAUAGUUAUCCAGCACCUUUCGGGAAAGAGGCAAUUUGAAAAUCUCAAACUGUCCCAGGAAAUGAGAGGAAGCCAUGGCUGCCAGUGGAUGAUGGGAUCAGCCCUCUCCUUUCUGACAUGGGGCAGGACAGCAGCCUCUUGUCAGGGCUGCCAGACUGCUCCACACCUACAGGAAUACAGAAUGGAGCCCUGAAACUGUGAGGGGUCUGCCUGGGUCCUGCUUCAUCUGAAUUURCAGGAGUUGGCAGACUGAGGUGACACGUCCUGUCCUCAGUGCUCUCUGUACCUGUCAGCAUUAAAAUAUUCCAAGAAGUGUGGAGAGUGAUCUACCAUACAUUUUGUUGGAAGUGGCGAAAUUAGGAUUUCACAUUAGRAUAGACUAGUUAUCCUUAGAACAAUCAGCCCCCUGAGCUGGCAGACAGGGAUGGGGAGUAGAAUAGACGCCCUGGGAUUCAGGAGAAGGCAGGUAGUGACCUCCUGUGCCAUUCAGAUGCUCACAAGUCUAUUUGGCAGAAAGGGAUUCACUUGAGGGCACUGAGGGAGCUGGUGGAAGGGCUGACCAAGCCACUCUCCAUCAUUUCCCAUCAGUCCUGGAUAACCAGGGAGGUCCCAGAUGGCUGCAGGUUGGACACCCAUCCACAAGAAGGUUUGGAAGGAGGAUCUGGGGAGCUCCAGGCCUGUCAGCCUGACCCCAGUGCCUGGCAGGGUUAUGGAGAUUAUCUUGAGUGUGAUCACACGACGCAUAUAGGCAGGAAAUCAGGCCCAGCCAGGAUGGGUUUGGGAAGGGCAGGUCCUGCCUGACCAACCUGCUCUCCUUUCAUGAUCAGGUGACAAAUGCCUUCCUGAAUUCAGUAACCAAUGACCAGAUGUGGCACUCAGUGCUCUGGUGUAGUUGAUGAAGUCGUGAUCGCUCAAAGGUCAAACUCCAUGAUCUCAGAUGUCUUUUCCAACCUAAAUGAUUCUGCAAUUCUAUGGUGUUAUGUAGUGUUUCUUCUGACUUUUCCAUAAAUACAAGCAGCUAUUAAGAAUGCAUCUGACUAUUCUAUCCAAGGAUAAGUGUUUGAGWUGCAUGAGAGAUACUCAGGGAAUUGGUAAGCCUUCAUUAGAAAAAAAAUGUCCUGAGAUCAAUUUCCUGAUUCAGUAGUGAAGUCCUCAUAUCAUAUAAAAUGUAAUGUGAUUGUCCAUGKCCCUAAUAAAAUUUUGACUUUUUCACCAAGCUUUCAUCUAUAAAAAUCAAAUUUACCUGGCAUUUGUCUGCAUUUUGAAAGGGACAGGGAUUUUUUGAAAUAGAUAUGAUAGUAAUCCUUUAUGGUACAUUAAUAAAGGAGAACAAUAAUUUGUUGCAUUUUCUUCACACAGAAACAAUCAGCUGGGAAAUGUGCAUAAUAAUUGUCUUUGUCCUUCAUUGUCACAGGCCAUUUGCUAAUGAAUUUAAGCUGUACUUGGCUCUUGCUCCAACAGGAAAACUGCAUUAGAGAUCUUGUAGCCUUGCUAUUAUAUAAAACCUUUCAGUGGGUUUUAUUUUUGUCUCACUGAGGUGAUGCUGCYGUGGGCUGAGGAAUGCAUCUCAGUUUUGUGGUGAGCA